rnacentral:sRNA from 1 species
GAUGAGAAGCUUCUACCAGGGUUCGAUUCGAGCGCAGCGAGAAAGCGUUGCCGCAGGCAACGACCCGAAGGGCGAAGCGCGCAGC